rnacentral:rRNA from 1 species
UACAGAGGUCCCGAGCGUUGUUCGGAUUCACUGGGCGUAAAGGGUGCGUAGGUGGCCGGGUAAGUUUGAUGUGAAAUCUCUGAGCUUAACUCAGAAACUGCAUUGAAUACUAUCCUGCUCGAGGGUUGGAGGGGGGACUGGAAUUCUCGGUGUAGCAGUGAAAUGCGUAGAUAUCGAGAGGAACACCAGUGGCGAAGGCGAGUCCCUGGACAACUCCUGACACUGAGGCACGAAAGCUAGGGGAGCAAACAGG